AAGGAUUUAAGUUAAAUAAACUAGUAGCCUUCAAAGCUACCAAUGAAGUAACCCCCCCCCUUCAAGCCUUG
rnacentral:tRNA from 1 species